GACGAACGCUGGCGGCGUGCCUAAUACAUGCAAGUAGAACGCUGAAGGAGGAGCUUGCUUCUCUGGAUGAGUUGCGAACGGGUGAGUAACGCGUAGGUAACCUGCCUGGUAGCGGGGGAUAACUAUUGGAAACGAUAGCUAAUACCGCAUAACAGUAGAUGUUGCAUGACAUUUGCUUAAAAGGUGCAAUUGCAUCACUACCAGAUGGACCUGCGUUGUAUUAGCUAGUUGGUGGGGUAACGGCUCACCAAGGCGACGAUACAUAGCCGACCUGAGAGGGUGAUCGGCCACACUGGGACUGAGACACGGCCCAGACUCCUACGGGAGGCAGCAGUAGGGAAUCUUCGGCAAUGGGGGGAACCCUGACCGAGCAACGCCGCGUGAGUGAAGAAGGUUUUCGGAUCGUAAAGCUCUGUUGCUAAGGAAGAACGAGUGUGAGAAUGGAAAGUUCAUGCUGUGA
rnacentral:rRNA from 1 species